GCGGGGGUUUCCGAGCGGCCAAAGGAGCUGGGCUUAGGACCCAGUAGCUAAGUGCUUUCGCAGGUUCGAAGUCAAUCCCUUUUACAGGAGCUGACGCUUCCUCAAAGGUCUAGACCUUAUCCCAAAACAAGCAAAUAAAAGGAAUUGAUGAAAAUCCUGCCUCCCGCA
rnacentral:tRNA from 1 species